GUUGUGAUUACUGAAGCUAGCUGGCCAAAAGGGAAACUCUUUUUUCUAAAAGUCUCACCUCGCACAAGUUUUGAGUCACAGAGCUAUGAAGAUCUUCGUUCUAAUAACCUUGAUUGCAGUAACAAGGAUCGUCAGAAAUGCCACUUCUAGUGCAGCAGUGGAUCCAGGUGAACGGCUUGAUGUAAAAGCAGAAUUACGUGGAAAAAAAAUUAAGAAGCCACCUGCGCAGUUGCCGACUGUAAAUAAGGUUAUCACCAAGCCAAAAACCAAGCUCAAGGUCAAUGCCAACCCAAAUAUAAAACGGAAGGACAUUUGGAAAACAACAAGGGAUACGACACUGUCAAUGCACCCAGAGGACUUGCCAAAAAAUGAUGACUAUAUAAAUGUGCAAGUGAGCACAAUCACUGUUAUGAAGAUCAGAAUGGAAUGCUUUGGAAUUGGGAUGGUACGGGACCAUGCCAUAACCCCAAGCCCUUCAUAGCCAUCCACAAAGGUCAUAUGAUCGCCGCUAGUUACGGAAAAACCCACGGAACACAGAAUGGCAUCGAUGCCACAUUUGCCUACACAAAUGCCGUGCCACAGGAAGGUUCC